rnacentral:rRNA from 1 species
UACGUAGGGGGGCGAGCGUUGUCCGGAUUUAUUGGGCGUAAAGAGCGUGUAGGCGGUUAGGUAGGUCCGUUGUGAAAACUCGAGGCUCAACCUCGAGACGCCGAUGGAAACCAUCUAACUAGAGUCCGGAAGAGGAGAAUGGAAUUCCUGGUGUAGCGGUGAAAUGCGCAGAUAUCAGGAAGAACACCCGUGGCUAAGGCGGUUCUCUAGUACGGUACUGACGCUGAGACGCGAAAAGCGUGGGGGAGCGAACAGG